GACGAACGCUGGCGGCGUGCCUAAUACAUGCAAGUAGAACGCAGUUGCGAACGGGUGAGUAAGGCGUAGGUAAUUGCCUCAUUGCGGGGGAUAAGUGUUGGAAACGUUAGCUAAUACCGCAUAUUGUGAGAUGGAUCUGCGUUGUAUUAGUUUGUUGGUGAGUUAAAGGGUCACUAAGGUGACGAUACAUAGCCGACCUGGGAGGGGUGUCGGCCAACCUGGGACGGGGACAGGGCCCAGACUCCUACGGGAGGCAGCAGUAGGGAAUCUUGGGCAAUGGGCGGGAGACUGACCGAGCAACGCGGCGUGAGUGAGGAGGGUUUUCGGGUCGGAAAGCUCUGUUGUUAGAGAAGCGGUAACUAACGAGAAAGGAACGGCUAACUACGUGCCAGCAGCCGCGGUAAUAC
rnacentral:rRNA from 1 species